rnacentral:tRNA from 1 species
GGUGGCUCAGGGGUAGAGCACAUGCCUUGCAUGCAUGAGGCCCUGGGUUCGAUUCCUCAGCACCA